AAGAUGCUCGUUACGCGCAGCAGGACGGAAAGACCCCGUGACCUUUACUACAGCUUGGUAUUGGUGUUCGGUGUGGCUUGUGUAGGAUAGGUGGGAGACUGUGAAACCGUGACGCCAGUUACGGUGGAGUCAUUGUUGAAAUACCACUCUGGUCAUAUUGGAUAUCUAACUUCGAACCGUGAUCCGGUUCAGGGACAGUGCCUGGUGGGUAGUUUAACUGGGGCGGUUGCCUCCCAAAAAGUAACGGAGGCGCCCAAAGGUUCCCUCAACCUGGUUGGCAAUCAGGUGGCGAGUGUAAGUGCACAAGGGAGCUUGACUGUGAGACUGACAGGUCGAGCAGGGACGAAAGUCGGGACUAGUGAUCCGGCAGUGGCUUGUGGAAGCGCUGUCGCUCAACGGAUAAAAGGUACCUCGGGGAUAACAGGCUGAUCUUGCCCAAGAGUCCAUAUCGACGGCAUGGUUUGGCACCUCGAUGUCGGCUCGUCGCAUCCUGGGGCUGGAGUAGGUCCCAAGGGUUGGGCUGUUCGCCCAUUAAAGCGGUACGCGAGCUGGGUUUAGAACGUCGUGAGACAGUUCGGUCCCUAUCCGCUGCGCGCGUAGGAAGUUUGAGAGGAUCUGACCCUAGUACGAGAGGACCGGGUUGGACGAACCUCUGGUGUGCCAGUUGUUCCGCCAGGAGCACCGCUGGUUAGCUACGUUCGGGAUGGAUAACCGCUGAAAGCAUCUAAGCGGGAAGCCGGCCUCAAGAUGAGACUUCCAUACCCCUCGGGGUGAGAGGCUCCCAGCCAGACGACUGGGUUGAUAGGCCAGAUGUGGAAGCGUGGCAACACGUGCAGCUGACUGGUACUAAUAAGCCGAUGACUUGAUAACACUCC
rnacentral:rRNA from 1 species